UACGAAGGGGCUAGCGUUGCUCGGAAUCACUGGGCGUAAAGCGCACGUAGGCGGAUUGUUAAGUCAGGGUGAAAUCCUGGAGCUCAACUCCAGAACUGCCUUUGAUACUGGCGAUCUUGAGUUCCGGGAGAGGUGAGUGGAACUGCGAGUGUAGAGGUGAAAUUCGUAGAUAUUCGCAAGAACACCAGUGGCGAGGCGCUCACUGGCCCGGUACUGACGCUGAGGUGCGAAAGCGUGGGGAGCAACAGG
rnacentral:rRNA from 1 species